rnacentral:rRNA from 1 species
UAGGGAAUCUUCCGCAAUGGGCGAAAGCUUGACGGAGCAACGCCGCGUGAGUGAUGAAGGUCUUCGGAUCGUAAAACUCUGUUAUUAGGGAAGAACAAAUGUGUAAGUAACUAUGCACGUCUUGACGGUACCUCAUUAGAAAGCCACGGCUAACUACGUGCCAGCAGCCGCGGUAAUACGUAGGUGGCAAGCGUUAUCCGGAAUUAUUGGGCGUAAAGCGCGCGUAGGCGGUUUUUUAAGUCUGAUGUGAAAGCCAACGGCUCAACCGUGGAGGGUCAUUGGAAACUGGAAAACUUGAGUGCAGAAGAGGAAAAUGGAAUUCCAUGUGUAGCGGUGAAAGGCGCAGAGAUAUGGAGGAACACCAGUGGGGAAGGCGACUUUCUGGUCUGUAACUAACGCUGAUGUGCGAAAGCGUGGGGAUCAAACAGG